rnacentral:rRNA from 1 species
UCUGUUUAAUCUUGGCAGAGUUUGAACGUUAUUUGGUAGUUUUACUCAUGCAAGUUAAUAAUAAACAUUAUUAGCGUACAGGCGAGUAUAAAUAAGUAUAUACCAAUAAAAUCAUAUUAUAAGGUAGUAUUAGGUUAUCAUUGUUACGAUUUUAUUGAUUAACUUAUGUUUUAGCAGGUAGUUGGUAUAGGUAAAAGCUUACCAAGCCCAUGACAAAUAAGAAUGAGCGAAAGCUUAGUUUCUCGCAAUUGGUUUGAGAAUAACCGAUCACAUCUAAAUAACUAGAUAUGCUGCAGAGGAGUAUCUUGGGCAAUGCUCGAAAGAGUGACCCAGCUAACCAAAACUCGUAAAGAGUAAAGUAAGGGAGGAUAAUAUGAAUGAAUUUUAGUAAAUUCAAAUGACGUUACCUUACUACAAGUCCAAUCUAAGUUUCGUGCCAGCCGAAGCGGUUAAACGAACUGGGCUAACGUUAAAUAGAAUAAAUAGGUAUUAAGGAUUCGUAGGUGGUAUCAUAAAUACUAGAAUUGAAUAGAGGAUAACAGAAUGCUAAGAGAAGGGUUGACAUCCAUUGAUACUUAGUAGAAUUCUAAAGGCGAAGGCAGUUAUCUAGCUACCAAUUGACACUGAGGAAUGAAAGUUUGGGGAGCAAAACGAAUUAGAUACUCGUGUAGUCCAGACUGUAAACUAUUUACACUUUAUAUUUAGUAAGUAUACAAAAUUAGAUAAUAAGCAAACCGCUUUAUGUGUAACACCUUGUGAGUACUGUUUCAAGACAGAAAGCAAAAAGAUUAGACCAUCUUAAAGACCCGGAGUGGAGCAUGUUGUUUAAUACGAUAAUCCGCGUAGAACCUUACCUCUCCUUGUAUAAUAUAACUAUUUUAAGAUAUAACAAGUUAUAUUACAGGUGUUGCAUGGCUGUCGGCAGUUCGUGUCGUGAGAUGUUAGGUUGAGUCCGCUAACGAACGCAAUCCCUAUCUUUAAUUAUACAUUUAAAGAACUAUUUUUAUAAAAAAUGUUUUGGGAAUACGAUAAGUCUUCAUGACCCUUAUGGAGCAAGGGCUACAGACGUGCUACUUGAACCUAUCAAAGCGUAGCAAUUACAGUUUCAAAGACUUUUUCAGCUAUAGGAUUUGUAGUACUGUAUAUAAAAAAAGCAAAUCGUUAACAAAGGUGAUAUUAGGAUCGUAAUCUGAAAUUCGGUUACGUGAAUCAGGAAUUCCGAGUAAUCAUUGAUAAGUAUGCAAUGGUGAACUAUUACAUUUAAGAGAUACUAAUCGUCUAUCACAUGGGGGCCAUUCUGUAAUCAAAAACAUUUGUAAAUUUAUAAUAGUACUUGUUUACUAUAUUUUAUAAAUGGAAUGAUGAGGAGUUUCUCUCGUGAAGUUAUAGCAAAGUAGCCGUAAGGGAACUUGUGGCUG